rnacentral:snRNA from 1 species
AGCUUUGCGCAGUGGCAGUAUCGUAGCCAAUGAGGUUUAUCCGAGGCGUGAUGAUUGCUAAUUGAAAAAUAUGAUACCUAUAAUC